CAACAGAUUCCUGAGAGGUAAAUGUUUGAAGGUAGAUCAGUCAAUAAGAGACAGAACAUUGACAAGGGUCAUAUUCAUUAAGGAAUGCAACGGGAAACAUUUGAUGUUUCGUAGUUGACAGCAAUUCAACAUAGCAUAGAUGAGAGGCCUACCUGCUGCUGCAAUGUCGACUGUAUCUCAUCUAUCCUUGAGCAACGGCCCACUCGUCUCACACACUUGCAGGUGAUGUGCACCGACGCGCUAAAGUGUCAUUCCGAUCAUGUCUGAUAUCUUGAUUGACUCAUAAAAUAUUUUUUAACUUUG